GGAAGCGCCGCGCGUUUCCAAGAUACGCAGGCGGGCUCGGCGAGAGAACACGAAGUAUCUGCCCCACGCAGGAACGGCAAUUUUCCCUUGCUCGCUCCUAGAAAAGCCAGCCAGGAGCUGUGGGAGGAACCGCCCUCAGUAAAGAUGACCGCAGUCACUGUUAUCUAAACGCAAGUAAAGCCGAGUCACAGGACCCGGAUGUUGUCAGUUCGACGGUAAACGACCCUGCCAGCUUCCAAGAGGGCGGCUUCACUGUGCGAAUAGGUGAGAAGCCAAGAAGGAGGCGCGCUGGAGUUACUUCCGCCCGGUUCUCCUUCCCGCGGUCUGCAGCCGGAGUAAGAUGGCGGCGCUGAGGGCUUUGUGCGGCUUCCGGGGCGUCGCGGCCCAGGUGCUGCGGCCUGGGGCUGGAGUCCGAUUGCCGAUUCAGCCCAGCAGAGGUGUUCGGCAGUGGCAGCCAGAUGUGGAAUGGGCACAGCAGUUUGGGGGAGCUGUUAUGUACCCAAGCAAAGAAACAGCCCACUGGAAGCCUCCACCUUGGAAUGAUGUGGACCCUCCAAAGGACACAAUUGUGAAGAACAUGACCCUGAACUUUGGGCCCCAACACCCAGCAGCGCAUGGUGUCCUGCGACUAGUGAUGGAAUUGAGUGGGGAGAUGGUGCGGAAGUGUGAUCCUCACAUCGGGCUCCUGCACCGAGGCACUGAGAAGCUCAUUGAAUACAAGACCUAUCUUCAGGCCCUUCCAUACUUUGACCGGCUAGACUAUGUGUCCAUGAUGUGUAACGAACAGGCCUAUUCUCUAGCUGUGGAGAAGUUGCUAAACAUCCGGCCUCCUCCUCGGGCACAGUGGAUCCGAGUGCUGUUUGGAGAAAUCACACGUUUGUUGAACCA
rnacentral:sRNA from 1 species